GAAAGCCACGGCUAACUACGUGCCAGCAGCCGCGGUAAUACGUAGGUGGCAAGCGUUAUCCGGAAUUAUUGGGCGUAAAGCGCGCGUAGGCGGUUUUUUAAGUCUGAUGUGAAAGCCCACGGCUCAACCGUGGAGGGUCAUUGGAAACUGGAAAACUUGAGUGCAGAAGAGGAAAGUGGAAUUCCAUGUGUAGCGGUGAAAUGCGCAGAGAUAUGGAGGAACACCA
rnacentral:rRNA from 1 species